GGCCCCGCACCCCUCACCGCUGCUCGGUCCCGGCCGCGGGCCCUCGCCGCCGCCGGGAAAGGGCUCCUCCGCGGAACCCUCGAGCGUCGGGGGCGCGGACGGCACGCCGUAGGAAGGGCUCUUUUCGCCCCAGUGCAGGUUGCGGCUGCCCGGGAUGUCCGGGGGCGUCGUCACCCAGUGGCCCAGUUCCGUCCCUGAACCGAAGGAGCGCGCAUGGAAAGGGCCGCCGAAAGCCGGAUCAUCCCGAACGCCUCCCCGGUAGCCCAGGCCAUCGAAGCCCUCAGGGCGCCGCGGAUGCAUCUCGGACAGGCGGACGAGGACGAGAGAGGCCGGCCCACGGAGCCCAGGCCUCCACCGCGUCCCCGCCGCAGCCGCUGCGCGUCCGGAGACUGACAACCGGAAGUCACGGCUAGAACCCGGAAGUCCUAGGAGCACGUGACUCCGCCCUGGCGCGUCUUCCCUGAGUUGGUUGCUAGGGAGAUGCGGCUUAGGAUGGAAGGGGAAGGAUGCUUGUUGGGCCUGGUCCCAGGAGAUGCAAGGUGUGUCCCCUGCUAGCAGGGAUGCUCUGAGCUGUGCAGCAGCCACGAGUGACCGCGGACUGUUGCAACAUGCUGACUCCCCUCACCCAGGUGCUCACCCUUUUCAAGGGAACCCUGUGUGAGGGCAAGAGUAGCCUUCAGCCUAGCUUUGUCUCCGGCUGUGUGGACCACCACAGCAGACAUUAACAAUGUUCAAAUCAAAAACAUCCUCGUGUGUGAAUACAUACUGCCCUCAACCACAUAGGAAUCAACUGUUUAACUUUUCUAAGGCAACUGUAUACAGUUUUCUUUUUUCUGAUGUAUCAACUUGGGUAACUGAGAUCACAGCGUUGUCCCUGAACACCCCCACCCCAUGACGACUUCUGUUGAUUCCCCCCACUACCUGUUUUUAUUAGUUUCUUGAGGUCUUGAGGCUGGGUGGCUCUUGUUAGAUCUGACCGAGUUUUGCAUGGCUUCUCCCUGAGCCUUCUUCCCAACUGAACACUAGAAUCUAAAGACGUUCAGAAGAGAAUGCUGACGUAUUCCCUUCAAAGGCCAUGAACCUUCGUUUAAAGGGAUAACCUACAUUUUGGGCAUCUUGAGAUUUCUUGGAUUAGGUUAUGAUGUGCCUUGGCAAAAUGUGGGGAGUCUCUUGAUCUAGUAUUCCUUGUGUGCUUAUAUCAAAGCACUACUAGACAUGGCAAUAAAAGAAUUUCUUUUCCAGAACUAGGCUCUCCGGCCCAGAAGCUUCUGUAUGUUUGAUGGUGUGUUUUAAGGAGUAUAAGGAGAAGAAGGGAGAGGGAGUUUUAACACAGAAAUGUUGCAUGUCAUAACUUCACUUCCUUGAAAGUGGAGAGAGAAUGAAUUAUACCUCAGGAGCUAGAUAAAGAAUAACCAAAACCAUAGAAAUCGUCACUCUCAAAGCACAGUUUUAAUGCACUAUAUUCUUCCUUGUUUAAAAAAUUGGAAGAGAAUAUUUGGUUAUUUUUAUGCAGUGAAUCGGAAGACUUUCUAAUCCAAGGGCAGAUCUAAAAGCCAUUUAAGGAAUUGGGAAAGAUAUAAAUAAUUUAACUAUAAAUUUUACACUUGAAAAAUUAAAAAUAGUUGUAACCAACAUGAAGAGAUAAAUAACAAACCGGGAAAAUUAUAUUUUAGAAUAAUUUAGACAAUGAAGCAUUACUCUAUAAAGAGCUUUUACCAGUGAAUAACAGUAAAUCAGUAUAAACACGAUCAAAGGAUAUGAAGAGACUAUUUUAAAAGGAAACAGGUGAAUAGUCACAUAACAUAUGUCUUCCAGUAAUGAAAAUAUUUUAUAUGAGCAGUCACCGCUCAUUUGUUAAAGUGGCAACCUAUGCCAGGUAUGGUGGCUUAGCACUUAGGAGGCUGGACAGGGGGUUGCCAGGUGUUCCAGGUGUUCCAAGCCACCCCAGUCUUAGACCAAAACAAAACAUUCAAUGUCAGUCUUUAUGCAAAACUGCACCUUCUUGUUCCGGGUGAGGAAAGGAGUAUCUCUCACUAAGGAGUGAUUAUAAAAAUAUAGAAUUUUUUAGGGAAAGCAGUAUAGUACUUUUUUGUAUUUUAAGCUCUUAAAUUUUAGGACCUAAAUAAACCAUCUGUGCCCUAUAGACAGGUAGAGCUUAUACACUAUGCAUGUACUUAUGAUAUACUUGCCAACAAGAAGAAAAGCUAUAAAUAACAAGUCAUUGUUAACUUACCAAUCACUAAGUGAGUCAAUACAGAUCAUUAAACAUAUUGAUCACCGAGUGUGGUGACGCAUGCCUUUAAUCCCAGCACUCGAGAGGCAGAGGCAGGCGAAUUUCUGAGUUGAAGGCCAGCCUGGUCUACAAAGUGAGUUCCAGGACAGCCAGGGCUAUAGAUAGAAACCCUGUCUCAAAAAAUAUAUAUAUUGAUCAUCUGUCUUAGGACAAUACAGGUUUUUUGCACGUGCUGUGGUGGGCAUGUUUGUGUAUGUAGACAUAUUUGCACAUGCAUCUAGAGGUCCAAAGUCCACAUUGGCUGUCUUACUCAGUUGAUGUCUUACUCAGUUGAUAUCCACUUUAUUUAUUGACAUAUGGCCUCUUACUAAAACUGGAGCUUGCCGAGUACAGAUACUCUAGCUAGCCAUCUUGCCCAGGAAUACCAUUCCUCUGCCUGCUGAAUGCUGAGGUUGUGGGCAGCCUCCACGCCUACCUGGGCUUUAUUUGAGCACUGGCAAUCUGAACUCCUGCCCUCACACUUACAAUGCAACUGGUUUAUCUCAUGAGUCACUUCCAUGCCCCCUGCUCCAGAUACUGUUUUAAGCAACUGGGAUAUUGUGUUCAAUAAGGUAGGCAUAUGUUGAAAAGAGACAAAGAGCAUGUUAAACACAUGCAUACAUAAAGUGUCAAAUAAUGGAGCAAACAUAAGGUAAUGUCAAAUAAUUCUCUUUUUAAAAGAGCAGUCAUGUAACCUUUAUAGAUUAGUUGUUCUAGAAGGUAGUCCUCUCUGAAGAGUUGGCCUUUGUCCUGUGGAUUGAAUGAAGCAAAGGAGUGAACCAUGUUUGAUUAUCUGGAAGAAAAACUUCCAGGCCAAACUAAGAAUGUGGUACCAAGCUAGGUAGCAAAGUAAGCAGGGCAAAGGUGAUUUAAAAAAAAAAAAGGGGGGGUGACAGUAAAAGUAAUCAGAGGACAUGUUAUUGUAAUUGUAGGCUGGCACUUCAUUUCUUUAUUUCUGGAAAAUAUUGAUGUGUACAGUAAGAAUAAAGGAUUCAUUGGGAAAUGACAGAAACGGGGGCUGAUGGAACUAGAGCUACGUAUCAUGGGAAAGAUGCGUAAAAUGGAUUACACUGAGGUUCUCUUGAGAGUGGAAGGAUGAUGCGGCCUUAGCGGUGUUUUAGAAAUACGAACCUAGUGUUUUAUGGGGUAGGAGUGAAUGUUUUCUGUGUUUCUAGUCCAGCACACGAUGCUGUGAAAAUAUGCCAGUAACUUUAUCUACAGUGAUGAAGGCAAUAUAAGAAGAGAUUAAAUUUAGGAUUUAAAGAUCCUAAUAAGAUGAAUAUUAACUGGCAUUAGAAUUUUAUGUUAAGUAUCUACCAUAUGAUCUCACAUUUUAAUAAUAUACUAAUAAAAUGAUAGGCACCAAAAUGUUAUGGCUAUAUCUGGGUGUGGGUUAAAGAUUUUACCUUUUUACUUGCAUAUUCUAGUUGCUUUUAAAAGCUUAGGCAUUUUCCUAAGAAAACAAUAUAUUUUAUUUUAGUAAAAGUAAAAUUAAUGCAGCAGAUCCAAUUAUAGACAGGCACAGCAAUAAAAUCUCUCUGGAUAAUAAUGUUUGCAUUAUUUAAUCAACACACUCCACUGUUCUGCCAAGGUUCUGUUGUUCUAUAUUUAAUCAAAAUAUUUAUUAAUGAUGUAUGUUUAUAAAUUCAAUACUUUGAGAAGCUCAUAACAUAGACCUGAAACAUGCAUUUUGGAAACAUGCAUUUUGGAAAUUUUCCAUGGAAGGAAGGACCAUCCAGAGGCUGCCCCACCCAGGGAUCCAUCCCAUAUACAACCACCAAACCCAGACACUAUUGCAUAUGCCAGCAAGGUCUGAAGUAUAUCUUCAAAUCUGGAAUGGCAAUACCUCCAGCACUUUUUGUUUGUUUUUGUUUAUUUGUUUUGUUUUGCUAUUCAGGAUCAUUUUGGCUACAAUGGGUCUUUUAUAUUUCCAUGUAAAGUGUAAUAUUCUUUUCUAGUUUCUGUGAAGAAUUACAUUGGAAUUGUGAUGAGGAUUGUGUUGAUGGGGUGUAGAUUUCUGUUAGAAAGACAGCUAUUUUCACAAGUGUAAUGCUGCCAAGCAUGACCGCUUCCAUCUUCUGUUAUCUUCUUCAGUCUCUUUCAGUGUCUUCAGAGAGCAAAGCCUGCUUGCUUCCUCAUCCCAUUUGCUUGGAGUACCUUUACCACCUUUAAGAUGGUGCCUUAAAGACAACAGAAAGAUGGGUUGUUGUGUGCCAUUGAGGUAUAUAUAUCAGGUCUAAACAUUGUCUUUUUAAGAAAAAUAC
rnacentral:lncRNA from 1 species